AAAAAAAAAAAAAAAAAAACUACGAAUCUUUAAUGUCGGUUUUUGACUGCCAUUAUAGAAAAGACUACAAUGUCGGUUUAAAAUCGACAUUAAAAAUCUGCAUUCCUAAAUUUUCACUCAAUUUUGUGAAACUCUCUUUCUUUCUUUUUGUGAAAUAACCCUCUCUCUCUCACGCACACACAUCUCUCGCCGCCCUCCCCUCUCAUUGUUCACCACUCCUCUCAACUCAAACAUUUGACAGCUUCGCUCCACUUCGUUCAAGCACCGUCGUUCCAUCGUCGUUCAACCUUCGUUGAAGCACCGUCGAGCUCGGUUCCAGCAUCAUUCGAAGCAGACCCAACGCCAUCAAAGUAGAUCCAAUGAUUUCUCUCUCAGAUCUAUUCUUAGAUUUAUCCAUGAACUCCACUCCAGCGUCGUCGAAGCAUAACCAACGAUUUCUCUCUCAAAUUUGUCCUUAGAUCUCUCCACGAAUUCUGCUCCAGAGCUAUCAAAGCAGGUUUAACGGUUUCUCUCUCAGAUCUGUUCUUAAAUCUAUCCAUGAACUCCACUCCAGUAUCGUCGAAGCAUAUCCAACGAUUUCUCUCCCAGAUCUAUCCACGAACUGCGACCUAGUGUUGACGAAGCAUAUCUGAAAGCUCCAUUGCAGCGACCUGUGCACGAGGUCCGUUUGAAGUCCGUCGAAGGCAAUGUGUUAUGUGGGUUGUCCGAAUCUGAACAGAUUUAGCUACAUUGUUCAGAGCUACGUUGAAGGCUCUUAGAUUUACUCUCCUUUUCUUUUCCUUCUCUAUUGUUCACAUAUAUUUUUUCUUUUUAUUUCUAAAUCAACUCAUGUUUGCUUUUGCGAUCUGUAACACAGUCUUCUUAUAUGUUUUUUUUUUCUCAGGAUUCUGGAUAUUGGGAGGUGAUCUGACAGAGAUGGAAAAAUUUCUUGUCAGAGAUGAAGAGGUCCAGAGGCGAUAAUAUGGACUUUCAACUCAAGCGUUCUGUGAUUUACACUCCACAGAAGCGUAAACCUUCUUGUCAUUCUGUAUUUUUUCUUCUUAUUGUUAUUAUUUUGUUUAAUUCUGGUUAAGUAUGUUACCUCUUCGUUCUUAAUUACUUGUACGUCUUUCUCCUUCUUCCAAUUAUGUUUCCACUUAAAAUGGAAAACAAUGUCUCAUUCUGAGUGUUUUUAUA